rnacentral:lncRNA from 1 species
AUGAAACAGAAGUUUCCAGCCCCACCAGGAGCUCUUAUUCACCUCCUGCUGACUCGGGAAGCUGUUCCACCAUCCAUCACGCAAGGAAAAGUUUAGAAGAGAAAGCAUGAUUUACAUUGGAUCCGUUGACAUCAUCAUGUGAUGGAGAGGCCUUUGGAGUCAGCCAGACUCAUCUCAACUCUGCCACUUACUCAUUGUAUGAAACGCGGAAAAGUUCAGUAAAACCACCAAGUAAGUGGUGGAGCUGGGACUCAGUCCAGGCACCCAGACAACCUGGUUCCAGAGUUGGGCUCUACAUUUUACUGCCAAUGCAGUUCAUGGAAAUAACAAAGAUGUGACCUGGAGAAAUA